rnacentral:rRNA from 1 species
GACGAACGCUGGCGGCGUGCUUAACACAUGCAAGUCGAACGGAAAGGCCCUGCGUUUGUGGGGUGCUCGAGUGGCGGACGGGUGAGUAACACGUGAGUAACCUGCCCUUGACUUUGGGAUAACUUCAGGAAACUGGGGCUAAUACCGUAUAGGAUCUGCUGCUGCAGGGUGGGGGUUGGAAAGUUUAGGCGGGUGGGGUUGGACGCGCGGCUGAUCAGCUUGCUGGUGGGGGAGGGGCUUGCCAAGGCUGUGACGGGUAGCCGGCCUGAGAGGGUGACCGGCCACCAUGGGCCUGCGAUACGCCCCAGACUCCUACGGGAGGCAGCAGUGGGGAAUAUUGCACAAUGGGCGGAAGCCUGAUGCAGCAACGCCGCGUGCGGGAUGCCGGCCUUCGGGUAGUAAAACGCUUUCGCCUGUGACGACGCGUGAGUGACGGUAAUGAGUAAAGAAGCACCGGCUAACUACGUG